AGUGAACGCUGGCGGUAGGCCUAACACAUGCAAGUCGAACGGCAGCACAGUAAGAGCUUGCUCUUACGGGUGGCGAGUGGCGGACGGGUGAGGAAUACAUCGGAAUCUACUUUUUCGUGGGGGAUAACGUAGGGAAACUUACGCUAAUACCGCAUACGACCUACGGGUGAAAGCAGGGGAUCUUCGGACCUUGCGCGAUUGAAUGAGCCGAUGUCGGAUUAGCUAGUUGGCGGGGUAAAGGCCCACCAAGGCGACGAUCCGUAGCUGGUCUGAGAGGAUGAUCGGCCACACUGGAACUGAGACACGGUCCAGACUCCUACGGGAGGCAGCAGUGGGGAAUAUUGGGCAAUGGGCGCAAGCCUGAUCCAGCCAUACCGCGUGGGUGAAGAAGGCCUUCGGGUUGUAAAGCCCUUUUGUUGGGAAAGAAAAGCAGCGGGUUAAUACCCCGCUGUCCUGACGGUACCCAAAGAAUAAGCACCGGCUAACUACGUG
rnacentral:rRNA from 1 species